rnacentral:rRNA from 1 species
GUCUACGGCCAUGCUAUCCUGAACAUGCCUGAUCCCGUCUGAUCCUGGAAGCUAGGUAGGGUUGGGCCUGGUUAGUACUUGGAUGGGAGACAACCUAGGAAGACCAGGUGCUGUAGGCA